GUUAGGAAUAUUGGACAAUGGGCGAAAGCCUGAUCCAGCCAUGCCGCGUGAACGAUGAAGGCCUUCGGGUUGUAAAGUUCUUUAGCCGAUGAUUAUAAUGACUGUAGUCGGAAAAUAAGCCCCGGCUAACUUCGUGCCAGCAGCCGCGGUAAUACGAAGGGGGCGAGCGUUAUUCGGAAUCACUGGGCGUAAAGCGUGCGUAGGCGGUUUUGUAAGUUAGGAGUGAAAGCCCAGGGCUCAACCUUGGAAUUGCUCUUAAAACUGCAUGGCUCGAAUCUCGGAGAGGAUAGCGGAAUUUCCAGUGUAGCAGUGAAAUGCGUAGAUAUUGGAAGGAACACCAGUGGCGUAAGCGGCUAUCUGGACGAGUAUUGACGCUGAGGCACGAAAGCGUGGGGAUCAAACAGGAUUAGAUACCCGAGUAGUCC
rnacentral:rRNA from 1 species